GUACUCACUUUGGCAGCACAUAUACUAAAAACUAGAACAAUACAGAGAAGGUAAGCAUGGGGCCUGUGCAAGGAUGACAUGCAAAUUCACGAAGUGUUCCAUACUUAA